AAUGUUAUCGGACACAAACGAGUGAAGUUUGCGAGUUGGAAUUUCUUCUCAGGAGUAUAUUAAAGCGAGCUAUUAAGGAAACAAAAAGUGAGCUUGGUCUAAUGCUCCUGGAAAAUAAUAGGAAGAAAAUAACAAUAGAGCCAAUUAAUUGGACGGAGCUUGGUUCCUGGCUUCGAGUUCUGAUGCAGGAAACUAGUACACAGAAAACACCUGAAGGAUUGGAGGGCUAUAUGGAUGAUACACAUCCUUAUCAUGAAGCUGUUGAGAUAACUUGAGUACCUGAUCCUACCAAUAGAUCUUCUUAUUUAUCUGUUAAACCAAGAGGACAAUCAUCAACAUCUUUGCCCGAUGAACAGACAAGAUCAGGUGGUCAUGAGAACCGUGACAGUGGAAUAUGUUCCUCAGAAUCAACUAAAGACAGAUUUAACUCAUUAGAUAGAAACAGAAACUCUCCAAAAGUACAUCCUUGUUUCACAGAUUCUAGUCUCCCACGAGUUAGUGUCUUUGAAACUGGUGCUAUUUAUACUCAGAUGAAAAGACCCAGUGUAACUGGAUCUUCAUUAUCACCAACAACAGGAAGCGUGAGUAAUUGCAGCAAGUCUAAUGAAAACUGUAGAAAAGAUGAUGACGCAAAUAAAAAUAAUGAUGAUGAUAAUUUAUUCUUUGACUUUGAAAUUGAUACAUUUGGAAAUUCAUCUAAUAAAAGGGGCAGCAGUUUAGUAGAUGAGAUAAUGUGGGAAUUGAAGAUUCAGCACGAUACUGGUAAGACAUCUACUGAAACUGGUGAACAGAACAUUUUUUGAACUAACAGACAAUAAUCAAGAGUCAUUGACUAUAACUAAAAGGAAAUCAGUGGAUUUCAGUCCUAUAGAGAAUGAUAUCAGUCCAAUUAAAUCCGAACAUGUAACGACUUCAGGCAGAGAAUCUGAUUUUCUUUGCUCAAGUUUUGAUAUAAAUGACAAUGAACAAGUAACAAGUGAUUUAAAAUGUGAUAAUAAUGAAGAGCCAAAUUUAGUAAUUGUUGUUAACAUUAGCUCAGUUGGAAAAAUGACGUCAGUGAAGAGGCAUCCUUCAAACGUGUCGGCUAAAAUAGAUGUCACAGAAACUUUAGCAGAGCUGAGAACAAGACUUGUACAG